ensembl:lncRNA
CCGGGGUGCCGACUCAUCACGGGCACAAACGUACACGCGCGAUAAAUAUCACAAAGUGUUCUGCAGAUGCUGGAAACUUCCCAUCCAAGCUGCCUGAUUUGUGCCAUUGAUCUGGAAUUGCUGAGGUAAUCAGACUCCAACGACAAUAUUAGUGUCUCAAUUGUUGCGAAAGGCCACGCGUUUUCAUUUAGAUAUUUGUAAACGUCAUAAAAUCGAGCAGUGGACGCAGAUCGGGCAGCCAGAGGCACUGUGCACGAUUGACACACAUCGGGCAGCCAGAGGCACUGUGCGCAGUCGAUGCAGAUCGGGCAGCCAGAGGCACUGUGCACGAUUGACGCACAUCGGGCAGCCAGAGGCACUGUGCACGAUUGACGCACAUCGGGCAGCCAGAGGCACUGUGCACGAUUGACGCACAUCGGGCAGGCACAGGUAUUGGGAUCACCACAGCUGUGGCUACAUCAGGCGGUCAGAUAUGACGCUUGUAAGCAAGAGAAACACCACGUUCGUUAACAUGACAGUGCACCGGGUGCUCACGUGAUGCACGUUCAUCUUCAGUAGAACCUUUUAUCCUGGUUCAAAUGAUUCAUGCUGAAGAAACAGACCCGAUUAAGCCGAUUACAGAGACUGGGGAUGAAAAGGAAACAACAAACAAAAAAUCACUAAAAAGUCCGACACACCUCUACUCUAUUAUUUCUAUUGAAACUAGGACUCCUAAGUCAUUUAUAAAUAAAUAGGUUUCGACAUCGUGUGCGCACUACAGGAAAUAUUUCAAUCAGAAACAAGGAAGUGUAAAGGAUUUUGCAAUCUCAAAAAAAAAAAAAAAAAAUCGAAUGUGCUUCUGAGAAAAGGCUCUGAAAACGGUAGCGUGACAGUUGCUUUGGUUUUCCUGUGAGAGGUUUUGUCAGGUAGCCAGACUGCGCUACUGUCGGUGUACAACCCCAGAUAAAGUCACUGCUGGUGCUUUUCAGAUCAUUAUCACGUCUAGUGCUUUACACUGUAAACCCAGCAAAAACCCCUCCCGUGCACGGAGUACAAGUCGAGUUUGUAGACGUCUUGGCUCUCAAAGUGGGGUCUGUGAUGCUCUGAACUUCCCUUUGCUGUCACACUAUUUAAAAAAAAAAAAAAAAGCUGUAAAGCUCCUUUGAGACUUUGUUAAACGCGCUAUACAAAUCAAACUGAAUUGAAUCGAAUCGAAGCAUUAGCAGGGGAAAUGCUAUUAUGGUCUGUAUUUGAAUAAAUGUGCUUGAUUUUUGGAACAGUUUGUGAAUUAAAUCUGUACAGAAGAGAUCUGUAGUUUGUUUUGUUUUUUAAACAGUUAAAGACGGUUCUGACUGUAAAAAUCUGGAGAACGCCGGAGAUGUCAGGGCCAGACCGAUGAAGCUUUUUAAAUACCCAAUAACUUUGAGCCAUACUCGACAGUUAAGAUCAUGGACUUUCAUGACUUUAUGGGCAGGAUACUUAAGAUUCUAGAGAACGUUUCGGUCGGGUUUUAAUCCUUUUGCAGGAAUUACUGCGUCAGUGCGGCGUGGCAUGGAGGCGACCAGCAGGUGCACUGCUGAGGUGUUAUGGAAGCCCAGGGUGCUUUGAGAACGGCUUUCGGCUCGUCUGUAUUGUCGGGUCCGGACAUGGCGUCCCAACUCAUCACUGACUGUGGAAACUUCACACUGGACUUCAAGCAAGCCGAAGCGCUUCACGUACUUCUUCACUGCGAUCGGGUUAUUCUUCAUCGUGAUCGUCAACGUGCUCAUCUUUUUUCUUCUUACAACCGUGUCUGAAACACUGAAGGAUGAGGUUUGAAACAGUGCUGGGUGAUAUGAUAAAACUGAGUGGAGCUGCAACAACUAAUCGAUAACGAUCGGUUAUGAAAAUCGUCGUCACUUCUGCUCCGAAAACACUCUUCGGAGAGUAAAUACUAGAUUUGUGUCCAAAAUUACGUACUAUACACGUACACUAUGCACUCUACCGUUUAGUGCAGUGAUUACGCUGACCCCUAGUGGUCAGUGGUGUAAUUGCUCA